ensembl:lncRNA
CUUUUACUUGCUCUAUCACACAGACUUAAGCAUCAAGCUGGAACUGUGCAGAAUAAAAGUGGUGGCUUACACUGGUUGAAAUUAAGUACAGAUGAGUUUAGGUACAUUGACUGCAUUUUUUCUAGCAACAAAUAAGGAUCUUAUAAAUUUCAGAAUCUCUUAUCUAGGAGAAGAAACAGCAACUAUUAUCUCUUAGAAAUUCAGAGAAGAAUCAAGAUCCACACAAAAAGUAUCUAUAGGAAUGGGCCCAGCUCCAGACUUUCCUGAGCUAGCAUAAUGAAGUUCCACAUCAGAAGUCUGAAGACUUUGUGAAGUUCAGAGUGUCCCAUUAGGAUUCAACAAACUGUCCAGAACAAGCAACCAACAGAGCUGAAGCCUAUCUACAAAGCACUGAAAUGCAG